GAUGAACGCUAGCUACAGGCUUAACACAUGCAAGUCGAGGGGCAGCAUGGUCUUAGCUUGCUAAGGCCGAUGGCGACCGGCGCACGGGUGAGUAACACGUAUCCAACCUGCCGUCUACUCUUGGACAGCCUUCUGAAAGGAAGAUUAAUACAAGAUGGCAUCAUGAGUCCGCAUGUUCACAUGAUUAAAGGUAUUCCGGUAGACGAUGGGGAUGCGUUCCAUUAGAUAGUAGGCGGGGUAACGGCCCACCUAGUCUUCGAUGGAUAGGGGUUCUGAGAGGAAGGUCCCCCACAUUGGAACUGAGACACGGUCCAAACUCCUACGGGAGGCAGCAGUGAGGAAUAUUGGUCAAUGGGCGAGAGCCUGAACCAGCCAAGUAGCGUGAAGGAUGACUGCCCUAUGGGUUGUAAACUUCUUUUAUAAAGGAAUAAAGUCGGGUAUGGAUACCCGUUUGCAUGUACUUUAUGAAUAAGGAUCGGCUAACUCCGUGCCAGCAGCCGCGGUAAUACGGAGGAUCCGAGCGUUAUCCGGAUUUAUUGGGUUUAAAGGGAGCGUAGAUGGAUGUUUAAGUCAGUUGUGAAAGUUUGCGGCUCAACCGUAAAAUUGCAGUUGAUACUGGAUAUCUUGAGUGCAGUUGAGGCAGGCGGAAUUCGUGGUGUAGCGGUGAAAUGCUUAGAUAUCACGAAGAACUCCGAUUGCGAAGGCAGCCUGCUAAGCUGCAACUGACAUUGAGGCUCGAAAGUGUGGGUAUCAAACAGGAUUAGAUACCCUGGUAGUCCACACGGUAAACGAUGAAUACUCGCUGUUUGCGAUAUACUGCAAGCGGCCAAGCGAAAGCGUUAAGUAUUCCACCUGGGGAGUACGCCGGCAACGGUGAAACUCAAAGGAAUUGACGGGGGCCCGCACAAGCGGAGGAACAUGUGGUUUAAUUCGAUGAUACGCGAGGAACCUUACCCGGGCUUAAAUUGCAGAUGAAUUACGGUGAAAGCCGUAAGCCGCAAGGCAUCUGUGAAGGUGCUGCAUGGUUGUCGUCAGCUCGUGCCGUGAGGUGUCGGCUUAAGUGCCAUAACGAGCGCAACCCUUGUUGUCAGUUACUAACAGGUUCCGCUGAGGACUCUGACAAGACUGCCAUCGUAAGAUGUGAGGAAGGUGGGGAUGACGUCAAAUCAGCACGGCCCUUACGUCCGGGGCUACACACGUGUUACAAUGGGGGGUACAGAGGGCCGCUACCACGCGAGUGGAUGCCAAUCCCCAAAACCUCUCUCAGUUCGGACUGGAGUCUGCAACCCGACUCCACGAAGCUGGAUUCGCUAGUAAUCGCGCAUCAGCCACGGCGCGGUGAAUACGUUCCCGGGCCUUGUACACACCGCCCGUCAAGCCAUGGGAGCCGGGGGUACCUGAAGUGCGUAACCGCGAGGAGCGCCCUAGGGUAAAACUGGUGACUGG
rnacentral:rRNA from 1 species